rnacentral:rRNA from 1 species
GGAUGAGAUAGAGCAACGCCGCGUGCAGGAUGAAGGUUUUCGGAUCGUAAACUGCUUUUAUUUGUGACGAUUAUGACAGUAGCAAAUGAAUAAGGGUCGGCUAACUACGUGCCAGCAGCCGCGGUCAUACGUAGGACCCAAGCGUUAUCCGGAAUUACUGGGCGUAAAGAGUUGCGUAGGUGGCAAGUUAAGUGAGCAGUGAAAUCGUGUGGCUCAACCAUACUCACAUUGUUUAAACUGGCUAGCUAGA